UAGCAGUUACUGGACCUCACGAGA
rnacentral:piRNA from 1 species